GUCCUGUACCAAGUCAGAAAAAUGGCCAUUGUUAUAUAAUAGUUCGUUUCUGUGUGUGUUACAUUUAAGUGUCGUGUUUUUGUUGUGUCGUAGUAUAUCUGAUGUGUUUCUCUCAGUGUUGGUUUGUAACCCGGAUUUUUUUUUCUCAAUCGAUUUAAGAAUUUCGAACAGUGGUUUACUACUGUUGCUUUUAUUUAUAAUUUCAUCAUUUAUAUUUUUUUCCAUAAGUCAUACAUAUUUUGUUCUUAUCAUUCAAGCUAUAUUAGGAGCCCAUCUAAUGAAUUCAGUCUUAGUCAUUGAAGUUACGGUCCAUAACUCCAGCCUUUGUUGUCUAAUAUAUCCAUGUAUGACAGACUUUUUGUUGGUACGCUCGUACUUAAAACAUGUUAUUAUAACCAAUUGAUAAAUGUUGAACUUACAGUAAAACAUGUCAUGACGAAAACUUUGAACUGUAUUAACAUUUACAAGAAUAAAUAGAUAUAAAAAGAAAAAAAUAUAAUUGAAGGAUUCUAC
rnacentral:lncRNA from 1 species